GUCGGUAUAGUUUAGUGGAAGAACAUUAGGAACUUAAAUCUAAGACCCACGUUCGAUUCGUGUGUGCCGACC